ACUUGGUAAUGUGGGCAUUUAUGGAUCAAGUCUCUAAAGCGCUCCCAAGUCUCGAAAAAGAGUUCCCCAUCCAUCUGUUAGAAACUUUUGAUGGCUCUCCGAAACU